GACGAACGCUGGCGGCGUGCCUAAUACAUGCAAGUAGAACGCAGUUGCGAACGGGUGCGUAACGCGUAGGUAACUGCCUGGUAGCGGGGGAUAACUAUUGGAAACGAUAGCUAAUACCGCAUACUACCAGAUGGACCUGCGUUGUAUUAGCUAGUUGGUGGGGUAACGGCUCACCAAGACAACGAUACAUAGCCGACCUGAGAGGGUGAUGGGCCACACUGAGAUGGGAACACGGCCCAGACCCCUACGGGAGGCAGCAGGAGGGGAGCUUCGGAAAUGGACGGAAGUCUUACCGAGAAACGCCGAGUGAGUGAAGAAGGUGUUCGGAUCGUAAAGCUCUGUUGUAAGAGAAGCGGUAUCUUACCAGAAAGGGACGGCUAACUACGUGCCAGCAGCCGCGGUAAUAC
rnacentral:rRNA from 1 species